rnacentral:lncRNA from 1 species
AGUAAACUGUGUAGAAAUGGUACGAUGAGAACAGAGCAGUAAGGUGAUCACCUUAGAAAGUUCCUGACUAAUGUCAGUUUUUUCAUAACCAAAAGCACCAGGAAUAGCACCAUGUUCCUCCGAAAACUAAGGGGAGCAAUGCAUCAUGCACAUGCUGGAACCAUUUCAACAUAGGUAAGAUUGAGAUUUAAUGGCGUCGGAAGGAAAUGAUAAAACAACAUCUGGAAAUUUUGGUCAUGCAGGAAGAGAAACCAUGAUAAAUAAAAACACACAUUUUAUUAUGGAAAUUGAACCUCAGGAUAAUUCGUAGACAACCUGUCCUAUAAGAAGAGGUAUAUCCACAGAACGAAGGUCUCUAUGUAAGCACAUGCCAUGACUGCAG